CUCCAGACCCGGAAGAUGGGGAACUGCCUCAAAUCCCCCACUUCGCAUGACAUCUCCCUGCUUCACGAGUCUCAGUCCGACCGGGCUAGCUUUGGCGAGGGGACUGAGCGGGAUCAGGAGCCGCCGCUGCCAUAUCAGGAACAAGUUCCAGUUCUGGUCUAUCAUCCAACACCUAGCCAGACUCGCCUAGCAACUCAGCUGACUGAAGAGGAACAAAUUAGGAUAGCUCAAAGAAUAGGCCUUAUACAGCAUCUGCCUAAAGGAGUUUAUGAACCUGGAAGAGAUGGAUCAGAAAAAAAGAUCUGGGAGUGUGUGAUCUGUAUGAUGGACUUUGUUCAUGGGGACCCAAUUCGAUUUCUCCCGUGCAUGCACAUCUAUCAUCUGGACUGUAUGGACGACUGGAUGAUGAGAUCCUUCACAUGCCCCUCCUGCAUGAAGCCCGUUGAUGCAGCACUGCUUUCGUCCUACGAGACUGACUGAGCCAGGGUCUCUCAUCUGACUUCAAGUGAACCAUCAUUUUUGGUGGUUUUGAUCUUUUGUCACUGAGCCCAAAAAGCCAGGGAUUAGGGAUUAAGAUCAUGCACUAAAGUUUCCUAAAUAUUCCUGAAUGGCUGCAGCUGUUGGGGAAAAGUAUGUGAUAUUUUAGAAACUUAGGGGGAAAAGUAGGAAGGUAUUUUUAUGUAAAGCCUUGACCCAGUGUUCAAGAAUAUAAUUGUAUUUAGAUCUUGUUAUUGCUCCAGUACAUAGGAAUUGUGUAAAGUGUUAAAGCAGCUGUAUAAGUUUAAAUUGUGUAUGUCGAAGAUUAGGAAAAAGAUAGUGGUUGUUUUUCCUAAAUGAAGUAAUUUUCUUCCCCCCACCCAAAUUAUUUUCUCAAGUUGCUGGCAUUUGGGUCAAGGUUUUAUUAAAAGCUACAUUUUACAACACUGGCACAAAAAAAGUAGUUUUAAGCUUGUUUGUACAGUUCUUUUAUCCACUGGAAAUGGAAUUCAUUGCCUUAGGUCUUUUUAAAUAGUGUAUUAUUAUCAUUGGGGCUGGCUCUAUGCUUGAAAACCACUUUAUUUAUAACCUGUUAUAAGUGCUAUAUCUGUUUGCAGUUAGGAAAUGCAGAAUUCAAAGUGAUCUCCUAGUGUGUAAGCAAGCUGAGAUGCACUAUCCCUUUUCUAUAAAAAAAUGAGUUAAUGUGUCAAGAAACCAACUCUAGUAAAGUGGGAUUUAAUAUUACCCUUUCUUAUGUGUUUCACCUAAUUAUUUUGGUUGUUAAUAUGGUGAUAACUAAAAGUCAAGGUAAAUUUCAAACAUUAAGAAUUCUGAUUUAUUGAGCUUGAAUUAUGCCACCAUGCUUAUGUAAAAAUGAAAGUGGCACCAUGGUUAAACUGAAAAAAGUUUCUCAGUUGUAACAAUUUUGAUUUAUUCUUUCCUGUGACCUCCUUCCCUGUAUUGUAGUGCUGAGGUUAUUGAAGUUAUGUAAAACACAUCUCUGUUUCUGUUUCUUGGAAGAACAGUCCUGCUAGUUGACUGACAAUUCUAAGCAGGGAGAAUUAAGAUAAAUGUGUUUCAUGUUUUGCACACAAAUGCAGAAUUUGUAUAACCACAUGACUUCAUAGUUGUGAUCUCAAAAAA